AGACCAAGGCCUUUCCAGAGGUAUAACAUUCAUUUUAUAUAUAUAUAUAUAUAUAUAUAGAGAGAGAGAGAGAGAGAGAGAGAGAGAGAGAGAGAGAGAGAGAGACAGAGAGAUAGAGAGAUAGAGAGAUAGAGAGACAGAGGGAGAGAGAGAGAGAGAGGGAGAGGGAGAGAGAGAGAGAGAGAGAGAGAAAUAAACAAUGGGGAGACUUUGGAUUCAGUUUUUUGCACAUGGCCGUGUUGUAAACAGUAGUGUUUCCUCUAUUGGCUCCAUCCCACCUAGCGUCCGGCACGUUCUUGGGUCCAACGAGCUAAGACGCUAGGCGGGUUUCCUGGUUCCACAUUAUAAUCAGGAAGUACCUUUCUCAUGGACGCACCCUCUUUUUUUUGUGUUCAGUUUGGUCCUAUUGUAUAAAAGACUUUUGCUUUCUUUAUUUACCUACCUUUUCGGAAUAGGACCUUUUCCUUGUCUUAGUCUCCUUUGUAGCACUCGACUCUGUCAGGAGACGUGAUUGGACGUCUGUUUGGGGAAUGUUUCAUGUGACUUUGUGACAAGCCUCCUCAUUGGAGGAGCACACACAGCUGACCUUGUUGUCUUUUUUAAAAUUUGCUUAUUUACUUCUUGCACAAAUGACAAAUAUAAUGAAUGUUGGUGUGAGCUUCAGCAUUUUGAAAAGAAAAGGCAUGUGUUGUUGUUUUUAUUGUUUAUUGACAUGUUGUUGUUUUAUUUUUGUUUAUUUUUUGGCAAAAAAAAAGAGAAUGGUUUUGGCACCUUUUUGUGUUUAAACUGAACAUAAUUCAAUCAGGAUUCCUUUGUUGAAACUUGACUGUUGUUUGACGUCUUGUCAAUAAAUGUCCGUACCGCUGGAAAACCAACUCAGGCAUAGAAAACUUCAACACGCCCAUUAACCAGAAUGGUUAAGUCGCCAUCGUCGUGCCCCCCCCUCCCCCGAUUUAAUGUUGGUGGGCUGUUCGAUAUGGGUUAUUACUAUAAUUAGUUAUAAUUAGUAAUAAAUAUAAUUUAUUAUAUGGAUUGUUAUGAUUAGGAUUCUUAUUGUACUGUUAUAUGCUGGAGAUGGCUAUGUGCUCUUAGUGUGGACGUUUAGUGAGGAGGCACCGGUUGUCCUGGUCCUGCAGUGAAGGGCCAUCAUUCAGCACAUCUAUCUUUAUCCCACUCUAUCUAUAACGACCAGCUGACAGACACUCACUCACUCAGAGAUGCGGCCUGUUCUGUGCUCUCUGACUUCUCACCUUUGACCCCUACACACUCUGAAGUCCAGAAAAGGGUCUUCUGUCAGCUGGGGUCCAGUAAAUGUUGUCUACUGGUCAGAACGCACAGCCUUGUGGCUAAAGACAUGUCUGGGAGUUGGACUCUCUCCGUCGACCUUUGGUUUGGCUGCUGGUCAACCUGGACAUAUGUGUAGACGUAAGCGGAGAGUGGCAUCCGCAUUGCAGGCUGCAAGUCACACAGAGAGCUGAGACACAACACAAGGACUGGCAAGGUGGGCAAAGACAAACUUGGACAUGAUGAGAGACGGAGCCAAUCAGAACCAACCAACAACCAACUCAUGUUAUAUAGAUGAUGUACUCCAUCACCACCAACCCGUGUCUGUCACAGACCUCUAUAGCAAUCCAAACUGUCAGUGUAUGUAUUUGAGAUCUGUAAGAACACACCUCUUAAGAAAAUAAGAAAAUAAGACUUGAAAUAUCUUAAAGAAAUGGGCAAAUAAAUGUCCUAUGAUUUUUUUAAAUGCUGCCAAUGAAUGCUCUACAAGAUAUUGUACUUCUGUAAUAUAAUAUUUCACGCAAAAAUACAAAGCCCCUACGUCCCCACUCCUCAACCUAACUGACAAUGUUUGAUAAAAGGGGCUAAAAUAAGAACAAAGGUGAGUUUGUAUCGGUGAGUUCUGUAAUGGUAGAAACAGGAGCUCCCCCUAGUGUCUGCCCAGUGACACCACACUACUCCCUACUACUCCCCUAUUGGACAGUGUCAUCUCUUAACUGGUGUUGAGGGGGAGAGAAAACAAUGGGUGUUCAUUACAACUUGUUACGCACGCAUUUCCAACCUCCUGGUUGUUUUUGCGGUUGUUGUUUUUCAUGUGUAUUUUCCCCCAGUUCAUUUUGUUGAUCGAAUCAAAACAGGUAAACAGAUUGUAUUGUACGAGGAUACGGGAAGAAGGCCGGCAGAUGGCGACAUUGAGUCAUUUUCAUCUUACUGUACAAACACGUUGUAUGCAGCCGACAAUGCAUUAAUAUCCCUCGUCGACUGGUUCAUACCUAAAACAAGAAUGGGGAAAUAUGCGGACCAUUUUACACCACUAGAGUGACUAAACACUAGUCCCGGAUGUUGUGUAUGCCGUUCAGCCAAUCAGGUUGCAGGAAGCAGUCCCCCCCUAACAUUACGCAGCACUUUAUCGCAUUAGUGGAAACCAAAGCUGUUCUCAGGGCGGGUCUGCCGGUUUUGACUAGCAGAAGUUACUUUUCAUAGCAGGUUAGGAGAAUUAACGUGGCAGGUUAGGAUAAUUAAGUUAAGGUUAGGAAGAGGGUUAGGGUUAGCUAAAAUGGAAAAAUUGUCCCUGACUCGACUCAAACACAUCUAGCUACAACCAGGUCUGCCCUUAGAACUGUCUUGGUUUCCACUAAUGCGAUGCACCCUGUUUUGAUAGUUUUAACUUGAUUGGCUGAACACGACACAACAUCCGGGAUUAGCAUUUAGCCACUCAAGCAUUGUGGUUGAAAAUGGUAUGCAUAUUUACCCCCUUUUUCCCACCAUUAAAUAAAGUUAAAGAGGAUACCGAAGCCUCUGCAGCCUGAAUGGAGAAUGUUUCAGGUACGAACCGGUCAACGAGGGAUACUAAUUUAUUUCCGGCUGUAUACAAUGCGUUUGGACGAUAAGAUGAAAAUGACUCAAUGUCUCCAUCUGCUGGCCUUUGGGCUAGGAAGAAGACACAGAGGUCAUUCCAAUGGAAGGAGUGGUCUAAUGUAUGUUAAGACAUUGCAGUAGUAGCUAGGCUUUGUUCACAUGUCAAUACUAGCAUACCACUAAGGAUACAUGCCCAAUACUUUGCUUCAUUCUAAAUCGUGUGCUAGUGGGGAUGUUGGACAGAGUUCUAGUCCCAGGGCCUAGUAUACAGGUGUUGAGGAUGUUGUCGUAAUGAGAUUAAUUCCUCUAUUGGGGAGGACGUGGAGGAUGUUUUUAAUUUUUUUCUCACUUGAUACUGGGCAGAAAAAGGCAUAGAUGAAGAAACUCUAGAAUGGCCACAGUGUGAUAAUAAUGGUUGGACCUACAGUACCAGUCAAAAGUUUGGACACACCUACUCAUUGAAGGGUUUUUCUUUAUGUUUACUAUGUUUUCUAUGCCAAGAGUGUGCAAAGCUGUCAUCAAGGCAAAGGGUGGCUACUUUGAAGAAUCUCAAAUAUAAAAUAUAGCACUUUUUUGGUUACUACAUGAUUCCGUGUGUCCAAACUUUUGACUGGUACUGUAUAUGUGAACUGUAUGUUCAUAUUGCAUAUAGGAAGAGUCAGACAAGAUGACUAGGGGUUUGAGUUCUCCCUGACCAUGUGACUUUGAAAAGGAAAAUCACAGGUCAGAUCACAUAUUCAGGAGAAACUCAGGGCCCCAAUGAUAAUGUUUAAAUCAAGGUAUUUUUUAGAGAGUAUUGUAAAUUGUAUGUGAAAUAUUGCAGGAGCCAUGUUAGAAAGUGUCAAUGUGAAAGUAUGUUGAGCCAAAUCUAGGUAUUGUAUGUCCAUGAUGUGGACACGGAGGAUUCUGGCCUGUAUCAAGUGGAGGUCUUUGGAGAGGGGGAAAUGGUUUGUACCUUACUCAAUAAAAUAUGAAACCACACGAAGUGCGUACAGGCUUUAGAUAGUUAGGAGCUGGUAUCGGGGAAAAGAGAAAACCUUUCUUCUUUUGUUUUGUUACCAUAUGCGUGCAUACUCUGUAAUUUGUGUAAAAUAUUGUAUUUGCACUAGCUUUUUAUAUAUAAAAAAAACUAAUUUAAAAAAGGUUACAAUUGAAAUUCUAUUUUCUAAUUGUGGUGUGUCUAUUUGUAGGAUACACUCAAGUCUCAAGUUUCUUGGAUUUUAUGGUUAUUUUCUUUGAUGGUGCUUGCAGGUUUUCUAGUUAGAAUUAAUUUCAUUAUUAUUACGAAUAAUAAAACAACAUUUGUGAACAAAUUUGUUAAAAAAUAAAAUGUCUGUAUACCAGUUCCAGUGUAUUGUUUCAGUAUACACAAACUAAUAAAAUAACAGUGCCAAUGCAA
ensembl:lncRNA